GGACAGUGACGAUUGUGAUUAGGUCUCGUUCGUCGUAAUGGGCUUUAACAAGUCCUUGCCGACCAUUCUGUUAUAUCACCACCCAUAUUCUGAGUCC